CUAUAGGUUUAUGUGCUAAUAGUAUUAUUUCUCGAUAAUACAGAAGAUCGAAACAAUCUAUUGCAGGGUGCCUGCGCGCGGCGCGUCACGGCCACCUUGCACAUCCGAGAACGCAUACGGACUGGGAGUAUUCAGCGACUUACGCCCGCGCCGGCUGCCUGCAGCGCAGUGCCUACUGAUCCUGCAUUCCUGCGUUAUCAGUAAACUCAGCUGUUCUAUUCAUUGAAGCGAGGCCGUAUUCAAAUACAAAAAAUCAAGCAAGACUUCUGGAAUCGCUGGAGCCAGGAAUAUAUCUCCGAGCUACAAGCCCGCACCAAAUGGCGUAUAAAGAAA